GACGAACGCUGGCGGCGUGCUUAACACAUGCAAGUCGAACGGAAAGGCCCUGCUUUUGUGGGGUGCUCGAGUGGCGAACGGGUGAGUAACACGUGAGUAACCUGCCCUUGACUUUGGGAUAACUUCAGGAAACUGGGGCUAAUACCGGAUAGGAGCUCCUGCUGCAUGGUGGGGGUUGGAAAGUUUCGGCGGUUGGGGAUGGACUCGCGGCUUAUCAGCUUGUUGGUGGGGUAGUGGCUUACCAAGGCUUUGACGGGUAGCCGGCCUGGGAGGGUGACCGGCCACAUGGGGACUGAGGUACGGCCAAGACUCCUACGGGAGGCAGCGGUGGGGAAUAUUGCACAAUGGGCGGAAGCCUGAUGCAGCAACGCCGCGUGCGGGAUGACGGCCUUCGGGUUGUAAACCGCUUUCGCCUGUGACGAAGCGUGAGUGACGGUAAUGGGUAAAGAAGCACCGGCUAACUACGU
rnacentral:rRNA from 1 species